CACGUGGGUAACCUGCCUGUAAGACUGGGAUAACUCCGGGAAACCGGGGCUAAUACCGGAUGGUUGUUUGAACCGCAUGGUUCAAACAUAAAAGGUGGCUUCGGCUACCACUUACAGAUGGACCCGCGGCGCAUUAGCUAGUUGGUGAGGUAACGGCUCACCAAGGCAACGAUGCGUAGCCGACCUGAGAGGGUGAUCGGCCACACUGGGACUGAGACACGGCCCAUACUCCUACGGGAGGCAGCAGUAGGGAAUCUUCCGCAAUGGACGAAAGUCUGACGGAGCAACGCCGCGUGAGUGAUGAAGGUUUUCGGAUCGUAAAGCUCUGUUGUUAGGGAAGAACAAGUGCCGUUCAAAUAGGGCGGCACCUUGACGGUACCUAACCAGAAAGCCACGGCUAACUACGUGCCAGCAGCCGCGGUAAUACGUAGGUGGCAAGCGUUGUCCGGAAUUAUUGGGCGUAAAGGGCUCGCAGGCGGUUUCUUAAUUCUGAUGUGAAACCCCCCGGCUCAACCGGGGAGGGUCAUUGGA
rnacentral:rRNA from 1 species